UGGGGGAUAUUGCACAAUGGGCGAAAGCCUGAUGCAGCGACGCCGCGUGGGGGAUGAAGGCCUUCGGGUUGUAAACUUCUUUUGCUCUGAACAAGGCAUGCCUUUGGGGUGUGUUGAGUGUAGGGGUUGAUUAGCGCCGGCUAACUACGUGCCAGCAGCCGCGGUAAUACGUAGGGCGCGAGCGUUGUCCGGAAUUAUUGGGCGUAAAGGGCUUGUAGGUGGCUGGUUGCGUCUGUCGUGAAAGCUCAUGGCUUAACUGUGGGUUUGCGGUGGGUACGGGCUGGCUUGAGUGCAGUAGGGGAGGCUGGAAUUCCUGGUGUAGCGGUGGAAUGCGCAGAUAUCAGGAGGAAUACCGGUGGCAAAGGCGGGUCUCUGGGCUGUUACUGACGCUGAGGAGCGAAAGCGUGGGGAGCGAACAGG
rnacentral:rRNA from 1 species